AAGUGCUUAUGUUAUUUCUGUGAAGAAAAAGCACUACAUUACUGUCUUUAAUUAAUUGGUUCUCUGAUAAUUCAUAUUAUUCUCUAUGCACUGAUGUGGAACAUCUUCCGCCCAAAUACGUGAUAAGUUAUCCAUUAAAUGAAUUAUACAUGGAGUUGUUAAAUUUUCCUAUAGAAUACCUUAUUUGUUGCUGUUGGUUUGACAGAAAUGACCAAUUAUCAAAUGAAGGCGGUGAAAAAAAAAAUUGUUGUUAGUUUAGAGACAGGGUGGGGAAACAUGAUAGGAAGUGCACCUUUUUUUCUUUUAACGUCUUAUUUUCUUUUCAAGUUCUCAAACAUAUAAAUUCUGCAAUUUGCUGGUGUUUUCAAUUACUUUAAUGUCUGUAGGACGUUACAGUGCCUGAAACCUCAUUGGAUUCUUUAUUAUAUGUACUGAGACUUCUGAUAUAGUCUCAACAAAUGUUUCAGUUUUUUAUUUUUGUUUUGCAUCAUUUUGAACGGUUGAGUUUACAAUUUAUUCAUUCUGAUUUCUGUCAUUGCAGACACAUUUCAUUCUGCCGGAG
rnacentral:misc_RNA from 1 species